rnacentral:rRNA from 1 species
AUGGAGCAGUCCCAGUGCGAGGGACUGCUCCAUCCUGGAGACCCAUUUGUGCUUCUUGCGAGUGAACUUUUGAAGCAAGAGGUUCAAAAACUGAAAGAAGAGGUAACUGUUACUACAGUGGUAAACACGGCACCCAAAAGUUCACUCGCAAGAGGCACAGCCUCUUUCCAGGAUGCUAAUGAACUUUUGAAGCAAGAGGUUCAGAAACUGAAAGAAGAGGUAAAAGAAAUGUCUGAGAGGCUUCCUCCAGGAGACCCUAACCUGAAGCCACCACGAGUCGGGUUUCUCCUGAAUUGGGGAGAGAAGGCGAGAAGAGAUAUGAGUCAGUAUCCAUUCAUUCAUUAUUUUCAGACACUGACUUGUGUCGUGUCUGCUUGGUCUAACGGUCUCCCUCCCCAAGCACUAGAUAACAGCGGUUCCACACGAGAACAUGUUUGA